UUACGGUCAAAUCACGCUGAAACACCGGUUCUCGUACGAUCACCGUAGUUAAGCAGCGUAGAGCCAGGUCAGGGGACCGCUUGGGAACACCUGGUACUGUAAG